rnacentral:rRNA from 1 species
GACGAACGCUGGCGGCGUGCCUAACACAUGCAAGUCGAGCGAAUGAAGUUCCUUCGGGAAUGGAUUUAGCGGCGGACGGGUGAGUAACACGUGGGCAACCUGCCUCAUAGAGGGGAAUAGCCUUCCGAAAGGGAGAUUAAUACCGCAUAAGAUUGUAGUACCGCAUGGUACAGCAAUUAAAGGAGCAAUCCGCUAUGAGAUGGGCCCGCGGCGCAUUAGCUAGUUGGUGAGGUAACGGCUCACCAAGGCGACGAUGCGUAGCCGACCUGAGAGGGUGAUCGGCCACAUUGGGACUGAGACACGGCCCAGACUCCUACGGGAGGCAGCAGUGGGGAAUAUUGCACAAUGGGGGAAACCCUGAUGCAGCAACGCCGCGUGAGUGAUGACGGCCUUCGGGUUGUAAAGCUCUGUCUUCAGGGACGAUAAUGACGGUACCUGAGGAGGAAGCCACGGCUAACUACGUG